CAGGUACCCAGAAGACCUGGAUCCCUGCCCUGAAGAGGCGGAUGGCAGCAGAAACCGGCUGGAUUUUUGUUGGACAUGGCUCCGGAGCAGAUCCCUGCCUGCGCAGAGCCCGGCUGGCGUUGGAGCUCAUGGGGUUGCUGCAUGAGACCACACAGCGCAGGCUGAGCAAGUGGAUAAGGUGUGGAUGGAUAUAAAUGGGUCAGGGGGCCCAGGAGAGACAGAAAUGAGCAGAAAUCCCCCACUUCAGAGGCUGCUUCUGCAGGAGAGUCGGUGCCCGGUGGAAAGGUCUGAGCUUCGCAGUGCCUUUUUUGGUACAAUGCUGCCAACGCCCGUGUUCUGCUGCAGUGACCCAAUCGUUAUAUAAACAAGGGUUUAAUUUUGGAACUUUAAUAUUUAAGAGGCUUAAGUUUCUUUUGCUCAGACUUAUUUUCAUACACUGCCCAUCUGACAAAACACUUCUUACCUACAUUAUCAGUUGCUAACAAAGUGUCCUGCAGCUGUGUUCACGGUCCUUUUGAGCAAUAAUUUUACUCGAGAUAAUUCCUUGCCUUAGUAUCACUGUCAGACUGGAGCAGGGCUUAGAGGACUGCAUGGCCCUGGCUAGCCCUUCUGAGUUUUCAGACUACCUCCUUUGAAAAACAAAAGGCAAGUAACACAGAAGGGUGUGCUGAUGCUAAGAGCAGCAAAAGCUGACACGGAUGGUUGCCUAUAAAAAUAUUACCCUUACAAACCAGCGCCCUUUGGAAUAUAACCAUGGGACCUCUACUAGAAACAACUUGUAUAACUCAUAUGCACCAUCUCCUGCAAGGACAGAGACUGGAGCACCGUUGAUCCCCUCCUGCUGUCUUCUGCAGAUAGGUAGUUUGCUUUUUUCUGCGGUCAGUAAACAUUCAGUUUAGGGAUGGUAACACAAAUGUCUCCCUGGUGGGACAGAAGCUCAGCUUAUCACGUGCUGUCAGAGACGAAGAUGUAGUUUCUCAUCUGCUGUCCUGCUGCAGGUGUUCUACCAGCUCUCCAGCCUUGACUGUUCUGUUCUAAAGCCUGCAAAGAAACUAGAGGAACAGGAAACAAUUUAAAAGUGCUUUGAAGGAAGGAGUUACCGUGGAAAUGGAAGCCAGGUCACCACUUGCACUGUCACACCCCUCUGUCCUGCACCUGGCCCUGGUCUGACUCAUUCCUCAACUGGGGGAUGAUGCAUCGAGCCUCUCUGCCUCGGAUCUGCAUGUGAAAUGGGAGCGUUUCCUCCGGGGGAGACCGGAGGCCGAUGAACCACGAGUUUCAUUCCGGCUUUUCAAAAUGGAGGAAAAAAAUGAUGAUGCACACAGGGUCAGGCAGAGGUCUUUGCUUUCUGUAGAAGCCCCAGAAAGUGCCUUAAUGUACAAGCCGAGGGCUCUGAAAAUCAGGUCUGCAGCACCUAGGCUUGUCUGGUUCAUGCAGACUAGAUUAAAGGUCGGCAGCUAGGGAGGAGGUUCCCUUUCAUGGGGCAGGCAGGGAUUUCUUCCCUUUCUUGACUUGUCUAGAGGGUAUAAAGCAGCGUGAAGUCCAUGAAAGGCUUUGAGAUGCUCCUCAGAAAGAAGCUAUAGAACUGUACUGCUGCUAAAACGCGUCUGAAAAGGAGAAAAAACAGAGCAAUAGGACUGCACUUGCUCUGCUAUUACUUAUCAGAAACCCUGGGACACUUCGGCAAGGCCAAAUGUAGCCGACAGCAUGUGCCUGUCUCUGCACACGUGUGUCCCCACACGUACAUGUCCAACAUGCAGCAAAUGCUCGAGACAAGCGUUUUUAUCUUUUUGCAUGCAUGCACAUUACUAGUUGAGCACUGCCUAUCACGUGCUCCUGAACUGCUCUCUUUUUCUCCUUCCUUCUGCAUGCUGCCUGCCCCAGCAUGCCGGUAGGUUUGGAAAGAAGAGCAUAUGCUGUCACGGCUGUACCCCUCGUGAAAGGUGCAUCCGCAGCUCAGCAGCGAGGGCUGACACCUUCUGGCUGCUCAGAGGGAAGGGGAGCGUGAGCUGCAGGUAGCCUGCAGGAGGGGCAUCAUCAUCAUCUUAAUCAUGCUGAAAGGAAAUCUGUUUUUAAUCAAACUAUAAAUAAUGAAUGAGCCAUUGGUCUUCAACUGCUGCACGAUAUUUCUGGAAAGAUUACUCUGCUCUGGAGGGCGGAGGGGAAGGUGCUCAGACCCAGUUCAUCAGAGGCACUCAGUGGCUCUCCAGGCCUUGCACCUCCAGGGCAGCUUGCGUUUUCAGCAGCACAAACAUAACUGACAUUUCCAGCAACUUCCUUGAAAACUUUAUUAAAGAUUCCUGAUUACUGUUAAGGCACGUGCUUAAUACUGAGAAGAAAAAAAAAAUACAAAGCAACCCUCACUUCAAGUCCGCUUCCAGAGGAUGCUGCUGGGGUACUUUAUCUGUGCCACAACUAACCUCCAGCCAGCAGUAACUCUCCAUCCAGCCUUUCAGUAGUAAAUCUUUAUGCUGACAAUAUAGGAUGCCUCAUAAAUAACUGUGCCAGCAAGAAGAACACUGGGGAGGGAACCUGCUUUCCACUUAUCUUUCACCCUGCUGCCCUAGUUAAUGGAUUUAGAAACUCCAGUAAAUACCCAGACAGCAAUCUAGUGCAGUUCUCCCCCCGCCCCUUCUUGGAAGGACGUGCUCUGUUCCCUGAGCUUUCCUCUGCUGCCCGUGGGUGUGCAUUAGAUGUAGGCACUGAAGCAGAUUCUUGGAUCCGGUUACAAAACUGAUGCAAGGAGUUGCCAAGAACCCAGGGCAUCGAUAAGUAAAACUCCCAACUCUGCUUCUGCCCAGCUUCAUCCGGUUUCGCAUCAGCUUCUGCAUCGGCACAGGUUACACACGGUGCCCAGGGUCUGAGAGUUCCCGAAUUACACGUGUGUAGUUGUUCACAGGCCUGAAGACACGCCAUAUGCUCCCACACACUUGCUGCAGGUUAGCCACCACGGCUGCGCUGUGCUACGGUGCUGCUCACACCUAUUCCCUUCCCAAUAACCGUCAGCCACUCAUUUUCACACUCUCCUACCUCCCUGGCAACUUUUGUUGAACCAUUUGCAGUUAUAUUUGCAACUGCUCCCUUUUUAGGCUUCGUUCUGGCCCACAGCUCAAAGUUGUUUCCACAUAAUUUAUUUUCAUUAAAACUUAUUUUGUGCUCACAGGAUUUAGAACUUCUCACAAAAAUCUGCAUCUCCGUGCUAAUUAAAAGCAUGCUAUUAAAAGCCACGGGAUAAAGCUGACAAAGUGCCACCAUGACAAUCAACUUCCUUUCCCUGUCACAAAAGCACCCACCUUCUGUUUGUCUACCUGUCCUCUGAUGGCACGGAGGUUAUAGCCUGGGCGUAACUUCAGGAGCACAAAAAAUUGCUCCUGUACGACAAAAACUUUUUAUUCCUCCUCCCAAACCAGUAGCAUCCUCUGCAUUACAGUCAGACUUCUUUUGCCACUAGCUGCUAAGAGCUUCGCUUUACCUGGCUAGCGAAGGAAAUCGCAGUCACUGCCGCAGCAGUAGGCUCCUUCAUCACACAUCUCAUUGCUCCUACAUCAGCCUCAACUAUUCACGAGAUGCCAAAAAAUGUGUCAAUAAAAUAACUAUCCUGAA